rnacentral:rRNA from 1 species
UACGUAGGAGGCAAGCGUUGUCCGGAAUUACUGGGCGUAAAGCGCGUGUAGGUGGUGGGACAAGUCUGCUGUGAAAGCGCCUGGCUUAACCGGGCGAGGUCGGCGGAAACUGUCCGACUAGAGGACGGUAGAGGGGGGUGGAAUUCCCGGUGUAGUGGUGAAAUGCGUAGAGAUCAGGAGGAACACCGAUGGCGAAGGCAGGUCUCUGGGCCACUACUGACGCUGAGAAGCGAAAGCAUGGGGAGCGAACAGG